rnacentral:rRNA from 1 species
ACAUUCCGGUUGAUCCUGCCGGAGGCUAUUGCUAUCGGUGUCCGAUUUAGCCAUGCGAGUUGUACGUCUAACGUAGCAGACUGCUCAGUAACACGUGGCCGAUCUACCCUAUGGACUGGGAUAACCACGGGAAACUGUGGCUAAUCCCUGAUAGCGCUCCCGAGCUUGAAUGCUGGGAGCGUCAAAUGCUCCGGCGCCAUAGGAUGAGGCUGCGGCCGAUUAGGUAGACGGUGAGGUAACGGCUCACCGUGCCAAUAAUCGGUACGGGUCAUGAGAGUGAGAACCCGGAGACGGAAUCUGAGACAAGAUUCCGGGCCCUACGGGGCGCAGCAGGCGCGAAACCUUUACACUGCACGCCAGUGCGAUAGGGGGACACCGAGUGCGUAGGCAUAGAGCCUACGCUUUUGUGUACCGUAAGGUGGUACACGAAUAAGGGCUGGGCAAGACCGGUGCCAGCCGCCGCGGUAACACCGGCAGCCCGAGUGAUGGCCGAUAUUAUUGGGCCUAAAGCGUCCGUAGCUGGCCGCGUAGGUCCGUCGGGAAAUCUACUGGCUUAACCAGUAGGCGUCCGGCGGAAACCUCGUGGCUUGGGACCGGAAGACCUGAGGGGUACGUCUGGGGUAGGAGUGAAAUCCCGUAAUCCUGGACGGACCACCGGUGGCGAAAGCGCCUCAGGAAGACGGAUCCGACAGUGAGGGACGAAAGCUAGGGUCUCGAACCGGAUUAGAUACCCGGGUAGUCCUAGCCGUAAACGAUGCUCG